rnacentral:lncRNA from 1 species
AUAUAUUACAACCAAGUGAUUGUGCAGCAACGGGAACUGGACAGAUGAUCUGUGAAUUCGGAUAAGCAAGGGGGAAAAUGUUACACGACCAUUCCAGGAGAUAAAAUCAAGAAUGUUGAAUCAUUGAGGAACACACCAAAUAAACCCUGGGCUGUGAAUUAUGUUAACGGAAGUGGAAGUGAACACCAAAGAAAGAAGAUUCUGGCAUUCAAUAAUUUC